GGAUUGUGGCUCAGUGGUAGAGCGCUUGUGUAGCAAUUGUGAGGCCCUGGGUUUUAUCCCCAGCACCA
rnacentral:tRNA from 1 species